rnacentral:lncRNA from 1 species
AAUGAAUUCUCUUGCAGUGCAGCCCUGGUGAUAAUACCAUUAGGAGGUGAUUGCGAGUCCACUAUGAGAUCGGGUACUUCCACUAGUCCUAUUCCUUUGCCGGGCAUGAUUUGUCUAUCAACGAUUCUCAAGUCGAGUAGACUCUCUCUUACCGCGAUGCUCAUUAUCUUCCGGUUCAGGGAAUCAGGACCUACAUCUCGUGUGGGCUAGAACCAGCCAAUAGCUUGACUCCGUUCACCGCUGCUUCCUUCAUCCGAUAUUGCUAGUCCAACGGAAAGCUUUGCUUAGCUUACUGGACUUAAGAGCUUUCUGACUUGUCUCGAAAAGGCCGUCUCACUGUGUACGGAAGGCUCAGUUUACUCGCGGUCCAUUCCACCACGAAAGGGAGAAAGGUACUGCUAUCAUGGGGAACACCUAUCUUUGAAAUCCUAUCUUUCAGCUAACGCUAGUCUAGUCUCCAUUGGAAUAAAUAGGGCCAGCCUGGCUCAACCAGAUGAAUAGUUUAUCUAUCAGCAGGGUCGGGGCAUAGCGUAGAAGUUCGGUCAGUCUCCGUUGGCACGGUACACUUUGUUCACUUUGUUUUUAAUACGUUACUUUUCGGCUUAAUAAUAACAAGCAUUAUUCCUGGGCACCGGCAACCCUACUACUGACCAGGGAAGAGAUCAUGAAUAGGGCGUGGUGCAAAUCUAGUAAAUGGUGCCGUCUCGUAUCAGUGAACGUUGUUUGCUUGAUGGAUUGACGGAAGUCCGCUAUUGAUUCGGGAACCACAAGUCGAAUAGGAAUACGUAGAUCAAUCUCUGAAAGCUGCCAGUCCAGAGUAGCUUAUUGGAAAUGUCCUCUGGAUUGAGUCCCUCGAUAUAGCAAUAUUAUUUGCCGAGUCAAGUAUAGUUCAAGUACUACUGCCAACAGGCGCAGGCUAUUAGUCUGAUUCCCUAGUAGCAAAAGUGGAUUCCCUCAUUCAGAAGUAGAUUACAUACAGACAGACAGGCCCGCAUUGCUUCGAUCCAGAGGUUCUUCUGCGAAUCCCUACCAUUACUGGACAAGAGUGGUGGACUCCCAUCCCUGAAACCAGCAGACGGAUCCAAUACACAUAAGACUUUUUUUCUCGGGAAAUUCCGAAUGUCAUGCCCCACAAGUUAGUUGCCCAAGCGCUCCCUAGGAGGGCAGUCUACCACAAGAUAGAGUUUGGGCCUGGAGCCAAAGCCCCAACCCCUCCAUUUUUUGUUGAGCUCAGGAAAGAAUUUAAGGAAGUCACAUCGGCCCUCAUCAAGAGGAAUCUGAUCUCGCUUUGAUUCAUCCGUUGCGCGGCGGGACCCACCACUCUCUGUAAUUUCCCAGUUCCCCAUCGUAUCAUAUCAGGUUUAGGGGCUACCUGGGAUAGAUGAGUUUAUUUGUGGUGCUACUACUUUACUUUUUCUGAGUGAAUAACGUGAGUGAGUAAGCAAGAAGUGUUAGCCUUCCCCAUUGCAAAGAAUUCCUCGCAACAAGACGGAUUUCUUCUUUCCAGAGCAGUAGUGGAAGUGUUCGUAUUUCUUUCAAAGUGCCAGAAUCCAAGUGGCAAGGAAAAGCUUUAUUUGCAUAAUGAAUCGUGAUAUAAAGAGGAUUGGAAGUGCCGUGGUUCAGGUUGCGGAGCGGUGAUACGACUUUUCCAUAUCAAAGAUUCGACUCGAAAACCUUAUGAACCUGUUUUCCUUACUUCAACUAGGUUUCUUCUUCCUUUUAUCCAUAGGAGGCAAGGAUAGCAAGGGUAACAAAACAGAUUAAGCAAUCAAACGGAUGUGCGAAGGAAAGUAGGACUUUUGACUAUGGCUGGCAUAAAAAGUUCACUUUGAUCGUACACUCUACUAGGCAAAACUGGUGUGAGUGGUUUUUACUAUGGGGGGCAUAAACAGUUGAAUAUGGAGAGUCGGCUGAGUUUAGGACAAAAAGACAAGGCGUAGUCUUUUGAGUCUGAUCAGUCUAGUGUUGCCUAUGUUGGGUAGGAAAUAAAAGAAUCAAAGCCCUCGACGUUAGCAGUUCUUAGCGGGACUCGACGUUCCUAACAGCUGUUGAGCUCUCGAAGUAUGAGAUCCUGAAUGCAUCCUCUUUCUUUCCACUUCAUCUUGGGAAUCUGGAAUGGUUGUUUAUGGCUGGGUGUGACAGAUCAGACUGAGUUUAGAAUCAGACUUUCUAUCUAUCUAUCUAGCUGUAUUGCCACUCCAACGGUUCUUUUUCUUUGAUUAUGCCCCGUAUCUCUCUGAGCCUAUUUGAUCUAUUUGCUAUAUCUAAGUUCGAGUGUGAAGUUCGCUCCGGUUGAAGUGUAGGGCUUCCUAAUUCCUGCUUCGUCCUCCUAUGAAUGCACUAGUAUAGAAGGUUGGCCCGUCACCGUAUACCAUCGUAAGAUGAACUGGAAAUUCGUAGUUUCAACCAGUUACACAAAAUAGGCAAGUUGAGGUUUGUUCAGCGUGUGUUGCCUCCAACUAUAACGAGGCCCUUUGACUUGAGGUACGAUCUUACCUCUUAACGCGCUUUCCUGCUAGAAGAAGUGAGGGUGAUGUCCAAUGACCUGUUGAAGAAGCUUGCUGUGUAGAUAGGUUUCGUGAACCUAAUGUAGAACCUGUAAACGAAAGACUAGAGUCCCGGAACCGCUGCCAUUCAAAAAGCUAUCAAUCUGAUUCGAAAUACCAAGGUUCGAAGACCUCUGGCUUUGAUUGUGUGCCCUUUCUUGUUCCUAAGGAUUUCUAACCAGACCUUACCUUAGGCGGACGUAUACUCAAUUAUCAAUAAGACUAAAUCGUGAUCGACCCGCCAUCAUCUCUUGCCUGAACUGACUUACCAGUCACAGGGCCGAGAACACAUGAUCGAGGGAAAUUUCUUUCAUCACUACGAAAACUGGUUUUGCUGAUUGACAAAACGGAUCUCUUCCCUGUGAGCCGCCUUUAGGAAAACUGCACCAAAGAUGUGUCUUUGUUCGGUUCAGAUCAACAAAGCAUUUGCUAAUACCAGUCUGAAGGCAACGCUAUGCAGCUCCAUUUCCUCUUAAAGUGAAUGGCCUUCCUAUUAUAUCGAAUAUUUGGAGUUGCGGAGUUUUUCAUAGAAUGGGGUGUAGGCAAAUACCAACGUCGGUGAUUAUAGGGAAAUAGAUGCUUUCUUACUUAUGUUCUAUACUAGCACAUCAGCACCUACCUUUUCUCAUUGCUUCGUGAGGGUAGACAAUUGCCUGACUCGUACGUAACUGGGCCUGUUGUUUUCUAGUGCUUGAUAGUCUGUAGUGUAGUCUAUGAAAAGAAAGAAGUCACUUGUUCACAAGCCAAGAGUUCCAUUGACUCCUCUCUUAUCUACGUUCAUGCUUACUUAACCAGUAGUGAAUGGAAUAAAGUAAGAAGUCUUUCCACACUCGUAACCUGUAAUUAAUGGGAGUCGGUACAGAUUGGGUGUAGUGAAGAAUGGAACCCCCUACUCUGACUUGGUCUAGUGAAUGUCAGUCCGUACUCAUACUCGGUCUAGUGAAUGAUAGGUAGGUAACAGUGAAGUAGUCGGCGCACCGAGAAGCACACGAUCUAAUCUACUCUUAUUGUCAGUCUCUCCAGAAAGAAGAAGCACACCCUUGCCUUUAUUCUCUUCUAUGUUCUUGUCUCUAGUGUGGAGUUUUUCCUGUCAUAUCUCUGAACUGGACUACCAAAACAUCUACACUGCAUCAAGCCACGUUGUAAGAACCUCGACUAAGACUAAGAAAGGAAACAUCCUAUAAAGCUCUUGCUGGGUGAUUGUUCAGGCUUCUUCCGGUGGAUUGGUAUUGGUAGAGUUUGUUUGCCGUAUCUACACAGGUAGAGAACCUUGUUUCAUAGGUUGGGCCUAUAAAUAGAUAAGCGCGAGAGUACUUUACCGGUACCGGUUUAAAGGCAUUAUUCACUCAAUUCUGCAUUAUUUCUUCUGGCAGCAGGUUAUCUUUCUGCAACGCCCAAACAAAGGUGGAACACGUACCCAGAGAUCCGAAAAGCUACUUCUCAAGAGUCCACUAAACCACUUGUCCCAGGCGCGGGCUAAAUCACUCUGGAACUGGAAUCGCCCGGCGCGAAUCAAGUAGUCGUUAUGUUUGGGAUUCAAGGCAAGCUGGAAUCAGAAUCUGCAGGAAGACAGGGAGGAUCUGGAGCCCAUGUAGGUACGGCCUAAGCUGAGCUGCUAGCGGCAUCAACUCUUUUCCCCGCAAAUAAGAAAAGUAAACAUUCCCUCCCUAGCCUACCCGCCCUUUAUUUAAGUGGAAACAACCACUAUAGGCUACUUAGACUAAAAUAAAAAAUAGGGGCCCUUCUCUAAGUCUAAGAAGGAAGCAGCAUUACUUCAUUUUUUUUACCAAGGAAUGGACUCACUUUCCACUCCUUGAGCCUGCCAUUGAAAUGAAAACAGACUUUAGGGACUCGUUUUCGAAACGAUCCGGUACCAAAUUCCAUGCUAAAAGCGGUAAUCAGAUGCCGUUACCUCUUUCUCUCUUUCUUUCUACUGGCCAUAGUCAUCUCGAUUCUCACUCCAUACCAUACGACAAUAUCUAUUUGACACAAGACAUGACAUGAUCUGGCGGAUCAGAACAGAAAUGGGUUUAGCCUUCUCCCACUCCGGAUUUGCGUAUUCCCUCGGGAAAAUGGGGUAGGCUACUUUUGAGUGAGAUGCGGUUUUCUCAAAAGCAAUCCAUCGUUUCGAGGGUGCCGGGCUAUGGUUCAGUUCGAGUCUAGUUUCCUGAAAAUAUUCCGUGGUUUUGGCCCAAGGAAAGGAGUAGUGACGGAGUUCAUUCAUUAGCAAGGAUCGGACCCAUUCCAGCUUAGAACUUACCACUAGACUCUUGGAAUAGGAAAUUGGCUUUCCCGAGAAGGGGACUAGCACUUGAUUUCGUUGCCUAAUAGAAUCCCAUUCACUCUUGACUCUUGGAAUGAGUCCGGUGGAAAGUAAAGUAGGAAGGAGGGGCGAAAUUCAGUUGUGUUGGACUAGAUUCGAGAAAUGCAUAAUCAAAGCAUUUUCCGUUCUUCAGCCAGCCAUGCCUGGAAUCCAUCGUUGUGCCAAGAAAUAGUGCAACUUUUUCCACUAGGUGAGAUGCACUUUUGGCCCAUAGCGAGAUAGGAUAGAAGUUUUCAGAUCAGCUCCCAAUGAGAUUAGUAGAAUCUAAUGAGGAGAAUCAAAAGAGAGGUUGCCAUAGCAGUCAGUGGUUUUGCCUGGGACAGACGUGGCGCACUUGAUUGACCUUGCUUCCGGACUAGCUUCUCUUUUCAUACCUGGCACGGCAGAUUGAGUGAGUGAGUCCACUGUUUACGUUACAACUAGCAGUAGCGUGUCAAUUCUAGUCAGAAAAAAAGCUUUCCAUUGAUUCAUGAUAGUGCCGUGCCGUGCCGUACUCAACUGGUAUCAAAAGUGAGAAAUAGGCGAUAUUCUCCUAAAGAAAGGACGGUUGGAUUUUAUUUAGACAGAUUAUAAGAAACCUUUUUGGAUCCUUAGCGAAACAUCCCUUAUUAUUAAAUGCAUAUGGGCUUGACUUGAUGGUUUUUGAUGAAGUCGGUUCCCACUUUUCCAGUCAGGUUGGGAGACUUUUUUAGGGAAUUGACUCGUGUUUGACUUGAUCUGUCCACUUUGCAUUACUCUCUUUUUUCGAGCAUUACUUUCUUUGUUCAACUCAUAAGUGGAGUGUGUACGACUCCGAGAACAGUGAUCGAAUAACCAACCUCUUUCCUUGCGUGUUCAUUUUCUUUCCUUGCUCUACUUUUUGGCGAGAAAAGAAGAGCGAAGUAAAACAAUGAGUACCUGCCCUAUAGGCAGCAAAAGCCCUCAAUCUUUUUUUCUUUUUUCUAUUUGACCACCAUUUUUUUCUUAUUUCAACGCUUCUUCAUAAAAACGACUUUCAUCAGUCCGACAUUAGAAGGAAAAGAACGAUGAAAGAUUCCAACUUACUUCACUCAAAGAGUAGAAGCUUCAUCCUCCUAGCGAGCCGAGCCAGCCGAACUCAACCUUUUCUUAUCUAGAACUGCCAACAGUGGAAAGCAUACCACAUUAUCUCCAUUCCAUACUGAGUCCACAGCCCAGGGCUUUCUUUAAUAGCGGCUAUCCCCCGGAGAAUCCUUGCAUUUUGUUGAAAGGAAGCCUCCUCGGCAUGAUUUGCACGACCGAGGUCUUACUCUUUCGUUAUGCUUUAACAUUUCUAUUUUAUAUGUUAUUGGAUAUUUCAGUUAAUUACUUUCAUUCCCGAGGCUGGAUUUCCUUACUCAAUGGAGAGCGAAGCUCCCCUCAAUUCUGGCCAGGAUUCAAAGACCUAUUCGGGCCUAGCCCUCCUUUUCUUUCUUUGUGAGGUGUCGACAGAACUCACUUCAGAGAUAGAGUGGCGGGUACUUCUGGGUCGUAUUCUCGCUCAGGGAAAGCUACACUAUAGGAAGUCAGGAAGUCAAACAACGGAAGCAGGUCUGGCGUAUCGGAUCAAUCUGCGACUGGCCUUUUAUUCAUAACAUUAGUAGUUACUCAUUGGGUGCCAUCAGAUGAACGAACUAGUUUUCCACAGAAGAGGAUUUGAGGUAGGGCUGCUAGAGAAACUGACAAGGAAAUCACAAGAAAUAGAGAUGCUUCACGCCCAGCCAAUCUUGAAAGCUUGUACAGAGAUCCAGAAUUGCAUCUUCAGAAGAAUAAUAAGCUAAGCGUCGCGUCGAAUCUGGACUGGAAAGUCUCUAGAAGGAUUUGCACUCCUACACUGCCUUAUCAACGGAUUCCUGAGAGAAGGGGCCGGGCUAUUCAUUCCUUCGAGGUGCCGCAGUAAAGGUAGACUAGCUUAUUGGGCAAAAAGGUGCCGUACUUCUCAAUUGUGAGACUAGAGCUUGAUCCUCUCUUACGAGAUUUCUAGUUCGAGAUUUCGAGUUUCCUGAAAAGAAAGCGAAGAAAGAGUUCUGUAUUGAAGAUGUCAACUGCCAACUGCGUGCUUUCCCCAAUUCUUCUCUUACGAAAUGGAUCGUUGAUUCCUACCACUGAUGGAUUUAUGCCGACCUUACCUUACCUUAAAAGGAGAAGGAACGGGGCUUCCAGAGUCUGAAAUGCAACUUCCAAUUGACAUAGAAUAGAAUGAUCCAACGAACCCAUACUCGUACUCGGGAAGGCCAGCUGGAAAUGCAGUGCAGUAAAGUAAGUAAUUCAGUAAGUAAUGCACUCAGUGCCAGUGCCGGUUAAGGGUCUAUUGCCAGUGCUAGCGGAAAGAACCGGGCUAUGCGCAGUGGAAUAGAAAAACGAAUAUCAGGAUUUCAUAGAAACUAAUGGAAAAGAUGGAAAUAAUACCGAACUCUUCUAUUGAUUUAUGGCUCAGGGCAGGUGUAACUUAGUGUGAUAGUCUAGUUUGUUUCAUUUAGGAGUGCGUAUAAGUGAGCUUGGUACCAUUCCAUCUUCUUAGCUGUAGGCUUAUUGCUAAGGAUCGAGUGUGGACAGAAAGGUUUGAUGAUCUAGGUCAUUAGUCUCCGGUUUCUCUUUAUGUGUUUGUUCGUCUAUUAUAGUAUAUACGACAGAUUCAUAGCUUCUCAGAUCUUUAUGCGGGCGCAUACAUCUCGAAUCCCUCACCUAAGAAGGAAAGCGAUAGCCAUCCAUUUCUUAUCCUUCGGCCAGGCCGGAUCUAGAUUAGUGACCUUGCUUCUUGACUUUCCCCUGCUUGUUCAAAUCAUGAUAUCCUUGCCCUGUAGGCAUCCCUCAUACGAUCCGAUCUACUUUGAUUGUUUCAUAGCAUAGGUUUGUUUACAAGAAGUGGUAGCUUUCUGUGUUCCUAGCUUGAUGGCUUUUCUUACAUUCCUAUUUCCACAUUCCUAUAUUUCCUUUAUUUUCAGGUCUGGCACUGGGCAUAAGUUUUUGGUCGGCGGGAAGAUACACCCAGCACAUAUGUUUUAGGUCAGAGUCCCAUCCUACAUUGACUAUUUCCACACUUUAUAGAAAGCAUUUGGUACAUUGGGCAACCCGUUUGAUCACACAAGAGAUGAAAUGGAAUUAUUCUUGGCAUAUUUCCUAUCAUUUCACUACCGAGAUCUGAUCAAUAGGAGGGCUCACCCGGGUUCUAGUUCAAUCACUCCAAUCCAUCUUUUCUUUUCUCGGGCCAAGAUGCAAUAGUUUACCGGUCUAGUUCGUUUUCCCGAGAACCUACCUGCCCUAAGCGAAGAAUGCCUAUUCUGGACCAAUUUCUAAGGGAAGAAGAGAAGGUUUGGCACCUGCUUCGGAGAAAUGGUUUCUAAGUACUGGGAUCCAACCAGUUUGCUUUUUCUGACAGCACCUGGGAAAGAAGUAUUCAUUGAACAAGAACAAGGAUCUACUAGUCCAACUUUCAUUCCAAUCUCUAUUCCUAUCAUCUCGCUUUUUCGGACAAGUUUUCUUCUUAACACAGGAGAACAGGAGAUGCAAUGUCGUUAGGGCCUUCUCGGUCUCCCCAACUAGGGGAAACCUCAAAGCAAACAUCCUUCUUCGGACAAGAACUGGCCCAUCUGCAUCGAACUAUUCGAAAUCUUGAAUCCCAUUUCCCUAAUCAAAAGGGAGGGAAGGCACUUAUAGCAAAGCAGGUACGAGAUAUCGUUUCUACCAAAACCAUGCUAUCUACCAGCACCAUUCUUGGCAAUUGAGAGAAGAAGCAGUCUACCGGAGCGAGAGAACGAACCUAGCGUUUUGAGCCCUUGGAAAACAUCAUUGAUAUAUGCUAACCCGGAGAUUUCUUGGUUCAUCAUGCUAUUGCAGAAGGUUUGCAUGCAACUACAUUGAUUUUAGUAAAGGGUGCUUUAGAUGCACUUUUUUAAAAUCGAUUAGCUUUCCGGAAAUUUGACGUAGAUUCAGAAGUGGAACAGGACUAGUUAGUGCUCAGGUUUGCCCGUCAACUAAAAGCAAGCAAGCUGUUUGGUAGAUCGGCGUAUUUCAAGGAUCGGAUCGGCGUAUUGAAACAGAGAUCUCUGGUGCUGGUUAGAUCCCAAGCGUGCCAUCGGAUUCUUUAGUUUAGCCACUAGGCGAGAGGGACUUUUCGAAUCAACCAUCGACUCUCCUGAUCUCCUGAGGGAAAAUAGGGUUGCCUAAUUAGUUGUGGCCCUAAGGGAAAUCCACUUUUUCUUCUUGGGUAUCGAGGGCAAAUCCGGUUGUUGAGUGAACUCGUGAAUCAAACAAAACCCUUCUUCUCGAACUGCUAGUGACCUACCGGACUUAGAACCUGGCCUGGCUUUCGAGAGGAGAGUGAAGUGGAAGCAUGAGUGCUUACACGAACGGAAGGAAGUAGAAGUAAGCAAGCCAUAUUUCGACCCGCUUCAUUGAACCUUAGAAUGGCAAGUGCUCUUCCUGAUGAAGCCCGGAAAAACGAUCUGUAGCGACAAGCAAGAAAACAAACCUCUUUUCUGAUGAAAGUGAUUAUGGCUGCUAUGUCUCCUACCUUGCUAUCGAGAAUGGCAUUUCCAUUCCGGAAGAAUGAGAGAGAGGGAGUCUUCAACCAACUUCCUUGUUUUCUUAUCCGGGCUUAAACCAGAAACGAAGGAUCCUUACCUGCCACUACCAUAACUUUACUUAACUUAACUGCUCUUGUCAGCUAAAAUAUAUAGGACUCUUCUAAAGCAAGGAACACUUCACCAUCACCUGCAUCCCAUCAAGCAAGGCCUAAACGAACGCACCAGUACAACUACAUUAACUGCUCUUGUACAAAAGGCAGAAAGAAACCUCUCUACUCAAGCACUAGGCUAUACACUGUAAAACUAGACACACUCUUAUCCUUUCAGGCAGUGAUACCACUUCUCUGCAAGGCCAAAAGGAAGGUAUGAAGCAGGGUUGUUAUUUAGGAGUAGGAGGAUGAAGAAGAAGUUGUUUUUGUUAGAUUUAGGAAAUAGGAAGAAAGCAGAUGCUGGAUCCGAAGCAGGUUGCUAUUGGAGCUAGAGGAAGAAGAAGAAGAAGAAAGCAGGAAGAAGAACAAUAAAGUUGUUAUUUGUUUUAUUUAGGAAGCUGGUUUUAUUAAGGAAGUAGUAGCAACCACUCCUCUUUUCAUUAGGUUAUACCAAUCACCCAUACCAGAUACGAAGGAAGCUGUACCUGUACCAAUUCCCUGCAAGGCAUCUUCAAAACCUAGCAACAAAAACCAAUACCAGCCCCGCACCUUCACCAAAACCCAUUCUUCUCAAGGAAGGUUCCUGUACCUUUCCAUUACUAGUAAAAAGAUAGCUAUAAUGAUAGCACUUCCCUUCAAGGAACCAACCAUUAACAAUACCUGUACCAAUACUUAUCAAGCUUGUAAAGCUAGGAUAAAUGAUGCCACGCUUCUUCCCUUCCCUGAACGAUCCAUUACAGGCUACCACUACUGGCUACCUUUACUUUAAAGCACUGUACUAGACUAGAGUAGACUUCCAAAACAGUUCCUACUGAUCCGUAUACCAAUACCUUACUUUUAAGAAACGAAAGUGCAACGGCUUUCGAGUAAUAAAGAACCUACUUUGCCAGCCUUGAGAAGGGAAUGACCCUAGAGCCCAAGCAAACCAUCUACGCAAGGCCGAAAACCCGCCAAUCAAACCGCUAAAGCAAAUGGGCAAGAAGGUUGAGCUGAUGUAAAUAGUAAAGGUCGGAAGCUCUAGCUUAUGAAGACUCAUGUUUUGUCUUGCCUGUGUCAGCUUCCAUCUCCCGAUGUUGCUACUCGUAUCCAUUCCUCCGUCUAUAAACGACGUAAAAAAGAAGUACCAUUCUUUCUCAAUACUAGAUUCCCUUAUCCAGUGCAAGAUGAAGGGAUUUAGUGCUCGGAGGGCAGAACCUGUCUGUCAAUUGGGCCCGAUCUAGCUAAUAAGAAGCAUCAAUAGAAUGGAGUGGAGAACGCAUAGACUCACAUCCCCAGCCUUACAGUAGACAAGGUUGUCGGAUCCACGGCUCUGCUAUUGGAAGCACUACAACGGAUAUCAUACUUCAUGGGCGAGGGGAGGAUGAGUAUGACAGGCCGAUACCAACUAGAAUUCAAAUCUGUAUGCCAAGAGUUUGAUCAACUUAUUCAGGUGGCCAGAGAGGAUUCUUCGAACAAUUGCUAUUUCAUUCCAUUGGCUAGGAAUCGUAGGUAUUGGCGUACGUAUAUUCGCUCGUGUCUCGUAGGAAAGUCUAUCGAUGAAGGGAAGCACCCUCGCCCAAGGAAAAGGAUGCACUUUCGAAAGCAGGCUCGAACAGGUGAGUUGGUUGAGCAGAGAGGCAAGUCAGUAAGUCCAACCUUCAUUGUUGAAGGAACUGCGGGUUAAAGGAAGAACAGUAGGGAGUGAAGGGCCAGUGGUUUUCUGUGGGUUGGUUUCGAGGAAGUGUGAGGCCCAGGCAGGGUAUCGUAUCACGAACGGGGUUCAUCGAAGAAAGGAAACUUUCUUGGCAAAGGCAACUCCAUAAAUGAAUAUUCUAGUUAUAGAGCUUGGGAGGAAUUCCCAGAUAUCACAUAUAGUAAGUAAGGACAACCAGGAAGGAUGGCAAUCCAGUACUUGACAACGAUUUAGAGGGGAAGGGCAUGUUUCUUAUCAAUCGCGAAUUGCAUUUCAAGAUCCAACGCUGAAUCGACCAGGCCCUCGGAGGGAAAUACAUUUAGAACCUUCGGUUAGGGAGCCAGUUAGGAUAAACCCCUCUGAUCGAUGAGAUAUCGAAAGAAAAGCAAAGAAGCGAACCCACUUUCAUUACAUUUUACAGAGAACGGAUUACUAGCGAGGCUGAGUCGAAAGACGAAGGACAUACUUCAAGCAGGGUUUCUAGGGUUAGAGAAAAGAAUAUCCCUCGGAUCAGAUAGAUAGGAUAAAUCCGGCUAAGGAAGAUUGGGCCUACCCAGAUUAGGAAGAAUUGGACAAAGCAGCUGCUCGGGCUAAGGUACAGUGUUCUUCAAUGGGCCCCGCUUCAGUUCUGGUUGCUGAAAGCAGGAAGCUGGAUCGGAACUAGGAAAUCUAGGAUGGGCAUGCACUACCUUACCUUUCAAUCAACUCCUGUAUCACCUAUGGGGAUUGGAGAAUGCCUUGCAAUGAAUUACGGAUCCUUCAUGGCCUCCAGAGGAGCCUCUAAUGACCUCCCCCUUCUCGAAAGAUAUGUAGAAACAGAAAAUUGAAUAGAAGAGGAGAGCAGCAUGUUUCUCCGGUAUCUAUACUAUACUAUAUAUUACAGCAAUUGUUCGCCGUUUCCACUGCGGCCCACUUUAAUGAAGAAGGGCUGUGAACUAAAUUCGAAUUUAGGAAAACAGUUUGCCAACCUUGUCAUACCUGAUAUAGGACUGCUAUUAAUCUAAUUAUAUAAAUAUAUCGACUACUGACGGAAGAAAGCGGAUCGGCUGUAUUGUAUCGAUCUUGACCGAAGGGGAGCGGAGCGGUCUUUAACUUAAUUCGUAAGAGGAAAACGACUGUCUCUACCAUAGGAAAGGAAAUGGGAUUCAAAAUGGCCACACCCACAAAGUAACAUACACGACAAUUCUAUAAUUCUUCGUCCUUUUUCUUGAGAUAACGCGGAAAAGUAUCUUUUUGCUAUGGCGUAUGAUUUGAUACUUGCCAACACGGAAUAGAGACUCGCACUUGGGAACUCUUAGGAGUGGUUCUAAUGUUAGUCAGAUUUACUUCUUCCUAACGCGACGAGCAGAUCAGAAGUAUUUCAAGGAUUGUAAGGGUGAUACCUGGAGAGAGUGUAGCAACCCAACAUAGAUUUUUAGUACUCUAUCUUAGUAUUAAGAGAUGGAAGAGAAGGAGCAAGGGAGCCUAGGAUUAGGUGGUGGAAUUGGAAAGGGGAUAAGCAAGUUAUGUUUAAAGAGAAAAUAAUUAAUGAGACGGAGUGGAAGUUAGGUGAGGAUGCUAACUCAAUGUAGAAUGAGAUGGCUCAUUGUAUCAGUAUCACGUCAGUGGCAAAAGAAGUUUUAGGUGAAUCGAGAGGAAAGGAAACAGACUGACCGAACAAAAAUAAACCUUUCAUCUUUCUAUUAUAUAUAUAAAUAUGAGGAGUCUAUAUAUAUAAAUAUGAUGAGUCAUGAUUGGGUCGACCCAAUCAUGACUAUGGGACCUUUUCUCGAGAAAUGCUUUUUUUCUCGUUUAGUACUUUACUUGUGUAAACUCUCUCUUUUUCUUUUCUUAGAGAAGCGCAGGAUUCCCUUUCUUCCCGGAACACUAAUACAAUCGCACUUUCUUCCUUGUCCCGCUAACCUAUUAUUUUUUUUAAGACAGAAUUUUUAGCUUGAACUAUCAAUACUAGCCUAAUUGAUUGCUGGAAUGGAACUUGAUGUAACUGGCAGGGACCGCUUAUAUAGAACGCUUGUAGGGAACCGGAAACCAACCUGCUCUGCUAGGGAAACGACCCCGGAGACCAGCCUGAUAGACUAUAUCUAUGAACUUCGAAUAAGUCCCUACUUUCCUAUCCUAAUAAGGGUACUGGCUCGCGAAUGGCCCUACAAAAUGACUCUCCUAAAAUCAAUGUCUGGAAGUCCUUUUAAGAUAGGUUAAUAUAAGAUAUGCUAUGCUUAACACUUAGGCUUAGCAAGAGGGACUGGCGCGUGAGACCGAGAUCGCCAUAGAUUGAUUGUGCAGGCAGGUAAUACUCAUUUUAACUAGAAAGAGGAUAUUAUAUUAUACAUGAGUACUGGUUAUAGUCACACUCCCAAACUCCCGAGAAGUCUUUUUUACUUAACUCUAGGACUUGCUAUAAGGAUGGAUUGCUUUUACCCUCUAUCCCGAUCUCGAAUUGCGCUUGGCCAGGUUGGGCACAAACCCAGGUAGCCCCUAAACCCGGGCUCAGUCAAGAGCGGCAUCUGAAUCCCGCUGCAAUCCCUCCAGCGCAGGUGGAGAAAAAGGGGCAAAAUCUCAGUGGCCGACCUAAUAUGUUGGCUCCACUACCCGAUUCCCCUUAAUCCUCCAAGCCAAUCAAUGCCCCAUACCCUUAUCAUGGUCAGUCUCAUCUUUAGUGACUCCCGUGGUAAGGGGUCGAGGGAAGUGGUGUGGUGGGCCCCCUCACUUUUUUUGGAAAGAAGACAGAGAAAUUCUUUUGCAUUUUUGGAAGAAAUCUUCUGAAGAUGUCUCUUCUAGUAAGAAUAGAGAAGAUGUCUCAUCUAGUAAGAAUACACUUAUUUGUGAUCCUCCCUCUGUGACUGCUAUUCCUAUACUAUCAGAACAGAAAGUAGACUAUCCUAAGAUUCGGGUUGCGAUCCUCAAGGAAAUAAGCUUGAAUCUAAAAAAGACUAUUAGAGUAGAGUGGGGAAACUUAUAGCUACCUGCUCUUUCAUUGAAAUGAACGAAUUACUGCCAGUAAUCUGAGAAUUCAUUGGUUCAAGGUGAUGCCGCCUUUUGGCUUGGUUCAAGCCAGCUAUCCAAUUACCGUGAGAGCUCUUGGACUGUUAGACCAAGUAAAGGUAUUUGUCCCUUCCCCUUCUACUUACUUGAGAGUAGGGAGCAAAACUAGAUAAGUCUUAAGCGAAGACUGGGUUUAAUGAUACCCUCCCCAUUCGUAACUGCUUACAGCGGAACUUCUACUAUUCAUUCUAUCCACUAUCUCUCGACAAAUGAAUCUGAAUCAAAGUAGAGUAGAAGGCCAGACCUUAGGCGAAUUUCGGUAUCAAGAGAUGAAAGUGAAAGGCGGAGGUAUCCUUGGACCCCAGAAGCUAGUUCCAGUAUCCUCAUUUCUUUGGACACCAAACAUGCAACAUAUCCUCCAUUGGCAUUAACACAUCAUAGUGAAGCUUCCUUCACUGAACAGAUCUUCAGCAAGAAGUGACUAGUUGUCAUUCCAAACUCCUUACUCUUCCUCGUCAAUUUCAUUGCCUUAAUGGCAGCAGUCUGAUCCCUUUCUUCGAUAAAUGGAGCCGUGUGACAGCGCAGGUAGUCGCUUAGUUUCUUUCCCUGGUUGGCUAAUGCUUAACACUGGUCAGAUACCAUAAGUUAAGUUAAGUUUAAGUUGAAGUUGAAGUUAUGGUAGUGCUCGCUCGGCAAAUCCUAUCGGUUCAGCAGCGUCCUUAUCCUUAGUAGGAGCAGAAGGGAUGUAGCGAGGAGCCGAAACCUACCGUUACGGAACCGUGGAAAAAGCCGAAACCUAGGGUAU